GGAACUUUGGAUCCUUCUCUACCUUGGUUGACUAUGAAGACUUCUUUGCACUGAACAUUCAUUUCAGUGGUCUAUCAGUCCUGGCACUGCUGAGCCCGGAACAGAAGGCAGAGUUGGUUCUUCACCCCGGAAAUGGAGACCUGGACAAUGGCACUAUCAGCCUGGUCUUCCAGAGUCUGCUUGGGCCUCUAAUAAACAAUGCUCACCUGAAUCAGUCGAUGUACAAUGCAACAAUGAUGUCCAACAUGACUGCUGGCAAUGCCACAGGACCACAUGAACUUGACAGAACUCUAAAUGACUUCCUGUCAUUCCUGAGGCCCUUGGGUAGUUUCAUCAAGACUUUGGUGGGCAGAAUUCAAGUG